AUUGAACGCUGGCGGCAUGCCUUACACAUGCAAGUCGAACGGUAACGGGCCUUCGGGUGCCGACGAGUGGCGAACGGGUGAGUAAUGUAUCGGAACGUACCUUUCAGUGGGGGAUAACGUAGCGAAAGUUACGCUAAUACCGCAUAUUCUGUGAGCAGGAAAGCAGGGGAUCGCAAGACCUUGCGCUGAUUGAGCGGCCGAUAUCCGAUUAGCUAGUUGGUGAGGUAAAGGCUCACAAAGGCGACGAUCUGUAGCGGGUCUGAGAGGAUGAUCCGCCACACUGGAACUGAGACACGGUCCAGACUCCUACGGGAGGCAGCAGUGGGGAAUUUUGGACAAUGGGGGCAACCCUGAUCCAGCCAUGCCGCGUGAGUGAAGAAGGCCUUCGGGUUGUAAAGCUCUUUCGGCCGGGAAGAAAUCGUAUCAGCUAAUACCUGGUGCGGAUGACGGUACCGGCAUAAGAAGCACCGGCUAACUACGUGCCAGCCGCCGCAGUAAAAC
rnacentral:rRNA from 1 species